rnacentral:rRNA from 1 species
AGGAUGAACGCUGGCGGCGUGCUUAACACAUGCAAGUCACGGGGGCCUGAGGCGCAAGCCGAGGGCAACCGGCGAACGGGUGCGUAACACGUGAGCAACCUACCGAAAUGAGGGGGAUAGCCGGCCCAACGGCCGGGUAAUACCGCAUACGCUCGAGACCAGGCAUUUGGACUCGAGGAAACCUCCGGGGCGUUUCGAGGGGCUCGCGGCCUAUCAGCUAGUUGGUGAGGUAACGGCUCACCAAGGCAACGACGGGUAGCUGGUCUGAGAGGAUGGCCAGCCACAUUGGGACUGAGAUACGGCCCAGACUCCUACGGGAGGCAGCAGUGGGGAAUCUUGCGCAAUGGCCUAACGGCUGACGCAGCGACGCCGCGUGAGGAUGACGCUCUUCGGAGUGUAAACCUCUUUUGCCUUGGACGAAUUGCCGAGCUUUAGCUGGCUUUGACGGUACCGGUGAAUAAGCACCGGCUAACGUCCGCGCCAGCAGCCGAC